rnacentral:rRNA from 1 species
GUUUGACCUCAAAUCAGGUAGGGUUACCCGCUGAACUUAAGCAUAUCAAUAAGCGGAGGAAAAGAAACCAACUGGGAUUGCCUUAGUAACGGCGAGUGAAGCGGCAAAAGCUCAAAUUUGAAAUCUGGUACCUUUGGUGCCCGAGUUGUAAUUUGGAGAGUACCACUUUGGGACUGUACUUUGCCUAUGUUCCUUGGAACAGGACGUCAUGGAGGGUGAGAAUCCCGUGUGGCGAGGGUGUCAGUUCUUUGUAAAGGGUGCUCGAAGAGUCGAGUUGUUUGGGAAUGCAGCUCUAAGUGGGUGGUAAAUUCCAUCUAAAGCUAAAUACAGGCGAGAGACCGAUAGCGAACAAG